CUUCACCGAGCCGAGCCACAGCGGUUCGCCGCCGCGCUCCUUGCCGUACGUGGCGAGCAGGGCCUGUGCCUC
rnacentral:antisense_RNA from 1 species